rnacentral:rRNA from 1 species
GAGUGGCGAAAGGGCGAGGAACACUUGGGUAACGUACCCCCGACACAGGGAUAGCCGUGGGAAACUGCGGAUAAUACCUGAUGACAUCCGAUAACUGCAGGGUUGUCGGAUCAAAGGAUGGCCUCUACUUGUAAGCUAUCGGUCGAGGAGCGGCCCAAGUCCUAUCAGCUUGUUGGUGAGGUAAUGGCUCACCAAGGCAACGACGGGUACCGGGACUGAGAGGUUGACCCGGCGCAUUGGGACUGAGACACUGCCCAGACUCCUACGGGAGGCUGCAGUAACGAAUAUUGGACAAUGGGCGCAAGCCUGAUCCAGCGACGCCGCGUGUAGGAUGAAGUCCUUCGGGAUGUAAACUACUGUCAGGGACCACCACGCAAUACGGGUUAAUACCUCGUAACGCUGAGGAAUCCCAGAGGAAGUCACGGCUAACUUCGUGCCAGCAGCCGCGGUAAGACGAAGGUGGCAAGCGUUGUUCGGAAUCACUGGGCUUAAAGAGCAUGUAGGCGGAUGAUCAAGCGUCUUGUGAAAGCCCUCGGCUCAACCGGGGAAUUGCUUGGCGAACUGGUCAUCUUGAGGCAGGUAGGGGCAAGUGGAACUCUUGGUGGAGCGGUGGAAUGCGUAGAUAUCAAGAGGAACGCCAGAGGCGAAGGCGACUUGCUGGGCCUGUCCUGACGCUGAGAUGCGAAAGCCAGGGGAGCGAACGGGAUUAGAUACCCCGGUAGUCCUGGCCCUAAACGAUGUCCACUAGAUCGGAGAUUCUCUGACGGAUUUCUGGUCGAAAUGAAAACGUUAAGUGGACCGCCUGGGGAGUACGGUCGCAAGGCUAAAACUCAAAGGAAUUGACGGGGGCUCACACAAGCGGUGGAGCAUGUUGCUUAAUUCGAUGCAACGCGAAGAACCUUAUCCUGGACUUGACAUGUUCGGAUGCCUCCCUGGAAACAGGGUUCGGCUGCCCUUCGGGGUGAAGCGAUCACAGGUGCUGCAU